UUUUCUUGUUUGGUGGCUUUUUCUGGUACCAGACCAGCAAAAUGCACUUUGCCAGUGUCGAGUAGCUUGAAGGAGGCACAUAGGAGAUUGGUCGGUAAAAAUGUGCCAAUUUUGUGAUAAUGUACAGAAAUAAA